rnacentral:rRNA from 1 species
AGGAUGAACGCUGGCGGCGUGCCUAAUACAUGCAAGUCGAGCGGUAAGGCCCUUCGGGGUACACGAGCGGCGGACGGCUGAGUAACACGUAGGAACGUACCCCAAACUGAGGGAUAAGCACCAGAAAUGGUGUCUAAUACCGCAUGUGCUCCAAGGAGUAAAGCUUCGGCGGUUUGGGAACGGCCUGCGUAUGAUUAGAUUGUUGGUGAGGUAAUGGCUCACCAAGUCGACGAUCAUUAGCUGGUCUGAGAGGAUGACCAGCCAGACUGGAACUGAGAACGGUCCAGACUCCUACGGGAGGCAGCAGUAGGGAAUUUUGCGCAAUGGGCGAAAGCCUGACGCAGCCAUGCCGCGUGAAUGAUGAAGGUCUUAGGAUUGUAAAAUUCUUUCAGCGGGGAAGAUAAUGACUGUACCCGCAGAAGAAGCUCCGGCUAACUUCGUGCCAGCAGCCGC